CGCGUAGGCGGUUUGUUUAGUUAGGCGUGAAAUUCCUGGGCUUAACCUGGGGACUGCGCUUAAUACAGGCAGACUUGAGUUCGGAAGAGGGUCGUGGAAUUCCCAGUGUAGAGGUGAAAUUCGUAGAUAUUGGGAAGAACACCGGUGGCGAAGGCGGCGACCUGGUCCGAUACUGACGCUGAGCGCGAAAGCGUGGGAGCAAACA
rnacentral:rRNA from 1 species